rnacentral:rRNA from 1 species
GAUGAACGCUGGCGGCGUGCCUAAUACAUGCAAGUCGAGCGAACAGACGGUGAGCUUGCUCCUCUGCCGGUAGCGGCGGACGGGUGAGUAACACAUGGAUAACCUACCUAUAAGACUGGGAGAAUUUCGGGAAACCGCAGCUACUACCGCAGCAUAUAUUCUACCGCAUGGAUCAAUAGAGAAUGACGGUUUGCCUGACACUAUUAGAUGGUUCCGCGCCGCAUUAGCUAGUUGGUAAGGUAACGGCUUACCAAGGCGACGAUGCGUAGCCGACCUGAGAGGGUGAUCGGCCACACUGGAACUGAGACACGGUCCAGACUCCUACGGGAGGCAGCAGUAGGGAAUCUUCCGCAAUGGGCGAAAGCCUGACGGAGCAACGCCGCGUGAGUGAUGAAGGUCUUCGGAUCGUAAAACUCUGUUAUUAGGGAAGAACAAAUGUGUAAGUAACUAUGCACGUCUUGACGGUACCUAAUCAGAAAGCCACGGCUAACUACGUG